rnacentral:rRNA from 1 species
UACGUAGGGUGCAAGCGUUGUCCGGAAUUAUUGGGCGUAAAGAGCUCGUAGGCGGCUUGUCGCGUCGACUGUGAAAACCCGUGGCUCAACCAUGUGGUCUGCAGUCGAUACGGGCAGGCUAGAAUUCGGUAGGGGAGACUGGAAUUCCUGGUGUAGCGGUGAAACGCGCAGAUAUCAGGAGGAACACCGGUGGCGAAGGCGGGUCUCUGGGCCGAUACUGACGCUGAGGAGCGAAAGCGUGGGGAGCGAACAGG